rnacentral:rRNA from 1 species
CGUACACUCCUACGGGAGGCAGCAGUGGGGAAUAUUGCACAAUGGGCGCAAGCCUGAUGCAGCCAUGCCGCGUGUAUGAAGAAGGCCUUCGGGUUGUAAAGUACUUUCAGCGGGGAGGAAGGCAAUACGGUUAAUAACCGUGUUGAUUGACGUUACCCGCAGAAGAAGCACCGGCUAACUCCGUGCCAGCAGCCGCGGUAAUACGGAGGGUGCAAGCGUUAAUCGGAAUUACUGGGCGUAAAGCGCACGCAGGCGGUCUGUCAAGUCGGAUGUGAAAUCCCCGGGCUCAACCUGGGAACUGCAUUCGAAACUGGCAGGCUUGAGUCUUGUAGAGGGGGGUAGAAUUCCAGGUGUAGCGGUGAAAUGCGUAGAGAUCUGGAGGAAUACCGGUGGCGAAGGCGGCCCCCUGGACAAAGACUGACGCUCAGGUGCGAAAGCUUGGGGAGCAAACAGGAUUAGAUACCCGAGUAGUCCCAU